GAUGAACGCUGGCGGCGUGCCUAAUACAUGCAAGUCGAGCGAACAGAUAAGGAGCUUGCUCCUUUGACGUGAGCGGCGGACGGGUGAGUAACACGUGGGUAACCUACCUAUAAGACUGGGAUAACUUCGGGAAACCGGAGCUAAUACCGGAUAAUAUUUCGAACCGCAUGGUUCGAUAGUGAAAGAUGGUUUUGCUAUCACUUAUAGAUGGACACGCGCCGUAUUAGCUAGUUGGUAAGGUAACGGCUUAUCAAGGCGACGAUACGUAGCCGACCUGGGAGGGGGAGUGGCCAACCUGGGACGGUGACACGCUCCAGAGUCCUACGGGAGGCAGCCGUAGGGCAUCUUACGCAAGGGGCGAAAGCCUGACGGAGCAGCGCCGAGUGAGUGAUGAAGGUCUUCGGAUCGUAAAACUCUGUUAUUAGGGAAGAACAUACGUUUAAGUAACUGUGCACGUCUUGACGGUAACUAAUCAGAAAGCCACGGCUAACUACGUG
rnacentral:rRNA from 1 species